GCCAUCUUGAGAACCUUUGCAAUCAUGUGGAAGCACCGAUCAAAGAAUGGCUCACAGCAACAAACCUUCAACUUGCGGGGUAAAAACCGGAAGCGAUGCUCAUCACAAGCAAGACGAAACUUGAGUUAAUCAAACUAAAUAUAGACGGCUAUAGUAUCAUGAUGCAGCAGUCGCUGACGUAUCUAGGAGUAUUGAUAGACACUAAACUUAGCUACAAGACGCACAUCGAUAAAGUAUGUCAAAAAGCAACAAGUGGAACGGCAGCACUAACGAGAAUAAACUAGCGUGGGAUAGAGUGAGAGUGUGGUGUGCUAUAGCUCUGACUGACGAGCCGAAUGGCUAAGCUUGACCUUACGGUGUAAUGCUUAACGGCGGUUCCGUGCAGGCAAAUAAAAAGCAAUGACAAUGCAUUUAAGGGUUUAGUAUGUAGCCGUAUUGGUCUUUAGCGGCCAAUACGAAUUGUGUAUACCGUACGGAAAAGUGACGGUAGUGUCCAAAAUCGAUUUCCGAAAAACCCAAAUGCAGUAAUUGUGGCGAAAGCGAUCCGGCAAACCACAGGGGAUGUAUUGUAAUCAAAGAGCUUCAAAGUAUUCGAAACAAAAAGUCCCUAUUAAUUUGUUCAGUACGUCAAAUAAUCUGCCCACCGGAAAUAAAAAUUAUGUCAACAACUAACAUCGAGUACAGACGAUCGUUUAGAUAACUUCGAAAAAAAUAAAAACAAAACGAAAUCUAAGGUAUGAAUGGUGCUCUCCGAAUUAUGACAUGGAACGCAAAUGGAUUAUUAAAGCACCAAGAAGAACUUCAAAUUGUUUUGGAAAAAGAGAAGAGAGAGAGAGGCACAGCCACAUUACUUUCAAAAGCUAAGGACGAGACUUAUUCCAGGCGGCUCAGGAAACAGGAUGUGAGUUUGUAUCGACCGGAAGACCAACUUAGUUGCCAACGGAUACCAACAAAAUACCCGAUGUAAUCUACUUCUUUAUUCCUAAGAAAGUAUUCCAAAAUUUUAACGAAAUUUAAGGGGGCUUUGAUCUAAGCUCUGAUCAUUGCCCAAUAUAUUUAACCUUAAUCGAAACAGUUAUUAAAAAAUAACUAAAAUUAAAACUAUACAACAAAAAUA